rnacentral:tRNA from 1 species
GGCUCGGUGGUCUAGGGGUAUGAUUCUCGCUUUGGGUGUGAGAGUCCCGGGUUCAAAUCCGGCCGGACCC